AUCUUUUUCUAAACAGUGCCUCAGUGGGAUGGAGAGGGGUUGGGUCAUUUUUAGACAAACUGUUAGGAGAUUAAUUCCCCAGCACAUGUAGGAGAGAAUUCUUGCUUGUGUUCUUUGUGGCACUGUUCUUGGUGCUCCACCCAAACAUGGCCAUUAAGUCUUUAGUUGUCCUAUGAUUUAGUGAAUCAUAGGACAGUCGAGUUGUCCUAUGAUUUAGUGAACAGUUUAAUCAGCCUAUCCCUGACAUGUUCUAUGUUACAGUCCUUGCAGAGGGCUGAGCAUCAGUUUCCUCAUGGUCACAAGACAGUGGGAGAGCCAAGGAGGGAAAUACCAGGCUUAGGAGCAAGUAGAUGGGAGGGGUAGAGCAAGAGUGAGAGCACGUGAAGCAGGGGAAGGAGGAGGAGGAGGAGAAAGGCAGUGGAAAGGAAGGGUUAGGCCUGGAGCUGGAAGAAGAUGGGAGCUUUUGCUGGAGGACUGGCUGGGCUGUCUCCUUCAUGGAGAAGAUCUUGAAGAGAUGGACAAAAAAAAAAAAUAAUAAUGCCCAUUAGAGUGUUCCCCCCUCCAAGUCUUGGCCUGGAGUCAAAGACUUUCUGUGUAAGCAUCCGUUUGGUUUGAGCAGAUGAACAUGAGAAGUAAUGUUAUUACAGCAUUUUACGACUGAUGUUUAAGGAUCUGCGAGAUGACUGUUAGGUUCUUCAUGUUCUUUUUCUUUAUUAUUUUAAGAACAAGGAAGAUCACUGACUAAACAGUAUUACUGAACAUUAUUAAUCUCGCUUGCUCAAAGCAGAAGGUAGGCCCAUUAUUUGGGUGAAUCAAAGCUGUGCAACGAAAGAAGCAUUCCUUUGCUCCAGGUCUUAGUGAAAGAGGAACAGUAGGAAGAGAAAGGCCUCUAAGUGCAGAUGAGUGCACUGAUGAGCUUUCCCACGUUCUUGUCUGUGGUUGCCUGUCAGCUUGGCUGGAGGGCCCAGGCACCAGCCUUGUGGAUGGGCUGAGAGCUUGUCCUGAGGAAGGAAAUCACCAUCUAAUGCCAAAAUCCCAUCUGAGAUGCUUCAUUAUGGAAACACUGCAAGAAUGAAAAGGUUGGCCUGAAUCUCUGCACCUGAUCUUCUGGUUUUGAAAUGGGGAAGAUUGGACAUCAUCCAUGCGGACCUGUGGCAUGGGUAGCGCUCUUGUAUCAGCCUGCCUGCAUGCUGGCCAAACCUCUCUGAGGUACCCUACCGCCUAUUUGAAGUGCCAAGGCCUGAACAGCAGGCCUUGAACCAAAGCUGACCUCUAGAUGAAUCUCACAACCACUGAGAGUCACAGUAACAAGUGUGAG
ensembl:lncRNA